rnacentral:rRNA from 1 species
AUUGAACGCUGGCGGCAGGCCUAACACAUGCAAGUCGAGCGGCGCGGCAGCCGGGUGCGUAAUGCCUAGGAAUCUGCCUGUGCGCGGGGGAGAACGUCCGGUAACGGGCGCUAAUACUGCAUACUAUCAGAUGCGCAUAGUUCGGAUUAGCGAUAUGGUGGGGUAAGGGCCCACCAAGGCGACGAUCCGUAACUGGUCUGAGAGGAUGAUCAUGCACACUGGAACGUCGCCACGGUCCAGACUCCUACGGGAGGCAGCAUUGGGGAAGAUUGGACAAUGGGCGAAAGCCUGAUCCAGCCAUGCCGCGUGUAUGAAGAAGGUCUUAGGUUUGUAAAGCACUUUAAGUUGGGAGGCGUUACCAACAGAAGAAGCACCGGCUAACUUCGUGCCAGCCGCCGCGGUAAUUC